GAACGGGUGAGUAAUAUAUCGGAACGUACCCUGGAGUGGGGGAUAACGUAGCGAAAGUUACGCUAAUACCGCAUACGAUCUAAGGAUGAAAGUGGGGGAUUCGCAAGAACCUCAUGCUCCUGGAGCGGCCGAUAUCUGAUUAGCUAGUUGGUGGGGUAAAGGCCUACCAAGGCAUCGAUCAGUAGCUGGUCUGAGAGGACGACCAGCCACACUGGAACUGAGACACGGUCCAGACUCCUACGGGAGGCAGCAGUGGGGAAUUUUGGACAAUGGGCGAAAGCCUGAUCCAGCAAUGCCGCGUGAGUGAAGAAGGCCUUCGGGUUGUAAAGCUCUUUUGUCAGGGAAGAAACGGUGAGGGCUAAUAUCUCUUGCUAAUGACGGUACCUGAAGAAUAAGCACCGGCUAACUACGUGCCAGCAGCCGCGGUAAUACGUAGGGUGCAAGCGUUAAUCGGAAUUACUGGGCGUAAAGCGUGCGCAGGCGGUUUUGUAAGUCUGUCGUGAAAUCCCCGGGCUCAACCUGGGAAUUGCGAUGGAGACUGCAAGGCUAGAAUCUGGCAGAGGGGGGUAGAAUUCCACGUGUAGCAGUGAAAUGCGUAGAGAUGUGGAGGAACACCGAUGGCGAAGGCAGCCCCCUGGGUCAAGAUUGACGCUCAUGCACGAAAGCGUGGGGAGCAAACAGGAUUAGAUACCCUGGUAGUCCACGCCCUAAACGAUGUCUACUAGUUGUCGGGUUUUAAUUAACUUGGUAACGCAGCUAACGCGUGAAGUAGACCGCCUGGGGAGUACGGUCGCAAGAUUAAAACUCAAAGGAAUUGACGGGGACCCGCACAAGCGGUGGAUGAUGUGGAUUAAUUCGAUGCAACGCGAAAAACCUUACCUACCCUUGACAUGUACGGAAGCCACGAGAGAUCGAGGUGUGCUCGAAAGAGAACCGUAACACAGGUGCUGCAUGGCUGUCGUCAGCUCGUGUCGUGAGAUGUUGGGUUAAGUCCCGCAACGAGCGCAACCCUUGUCAUUAGUUGCUACGAAAGAGCACUCUAAUGAGACUGCCGGUGACAAACCGGAGGAAGGUGGGGAUGACGUCAAGUCCUCAUGGCCCUUAUGGGUAGGGCUUCACACGUCAUACAAUGGUACAUACAGAGGGCCGCCAACCCGCGAGGGGGAGCUAAUCCCAGAAAGUGUAUCGUAGUCCGGAUUGUAGUCUGCAACUCGACUACAUGAAGU
rnacentral:rRNA from 1 species